rnacentral:lncRNA from 1 species
CAUAUGAGGCAUUUAAAAACUUUGAUGCAGAGAGUAUCGUAAUUUCAUAAAAAGAUAAUUUCGGUACACGAUGUAGAAUGUUAAACCUUAUACUAGAUUUAAUGAAUAAAUUGAGACUUAUCUUUAAUUAUGUGUCAACGCACCCAUUUGUAUGAAAGUUUCAUUUAUUCCAUGGGUAGCUUGGCACACCUACAUCUACACCCUCAUAUUUUUAUUUUGGGUACCCAAGCUUGCUUGGGUCCUUGAGGGUUAGUGCAUAUGGUUACUUUUGGAACCCAAAUCUAUUUAAUAGUAAUAACUUUACCAUUUGAUUUAUUCGUAUUAGAACCAUAGGUAAAGUUUUUA